rnacentral:snoRNA from 12 species
CUGGAGACUAAGAAAACAGAGUCCUUGAAGUCAAGCCAACUCUGCUAUUAGCCUCCUAAAGGAAAAGGUAGAUAGAACAGGUCUUGUUAGCAAAAUAAAUUCAAGACCUACUUAAUCUACCAACAGCA